rnacentral:rRNA from 1 species
AGUGAACGCUGGCGGUAGGCCUAACACAUGCAAGUCGAACGGCAGCACAGUAAGAGCUUGCUCUUACGGGUGGCGAGUGGCGGACGGGUGAGGAAUACAUCGGAAUCUACUUUUUCGUGGGGGAUAACGUAGGGAAACUUACGCUAAUACCGCAUACGACCUACGGGUGAAAGCAGGGGAUCUUCGGACCUUGCGCGAUUGAAUGAGCCGAUGUCGGAUUAGCUAGUUGGCGGGGUAAAGGCCCACCAAGGCGACGAUCCGUAGCUGGUCUGAGAGGAUGAUCAGCCACACUGGAACUGAGACACGGUCCAGACUCCUACGGGAGGCAGCAGUGGGGAAUAUUGGACGAUGGGCGCAAGCCUGAUCCAGCCAUACCGCGUGGGUGCAGAAGGCCUUCGGGUUGUAAAGCCCUUUUGUUGGGAGAGAAAAGCAGCAGGUUAAUACCCCGCUGUUCUGACGGUACCCAAAGAAUAAGCACCGGCUAACUUCGUG